rnacentral:rRNA from 1 species
CCUAAUGGUCAUGCCACCUUGAACGUGCCCAAUCUCAUCUGAUCUCGGAAGCUAAGCAGGGUCGGGCCUAGUUAGUACUUGGAUGGGAGACCACCUUGGAAUACCAGGUGCUGUAGGCA